CAAGGCACUUCCAACCUGGUGAAAUGCCAACCUGUUUUCUCCAGCAGCUGCACCGUUUUACAUUCCCACCAGCAGUAUUUGAGGGUUCCAAUAUCUCCACAUCCUUGCCAACACUUGCUAUUUUCUGUCUGUUUGAUUACAGGCAUGUUAGUAGGUGUGAGGUGGUAUCUCAUGAUACUUCUGAUUUGCAUUUCUCUGAUGGUUAAUAAGGUUGGGCUUCUUUGCAUCUGCUUAUUGACCAUUUGUAUAUCUUUUUUUUUUUUCUUUUGAGACAGUCUUGCUCCAUUGCCCAGGCUGA